rnacentral:lncRNA from 1 species
UUUUUUUUUUUUUUUUUUUGUGUUGAGAAAUUCAACAAUGUUUUGCUCAGAGAUGGUGCGCGUAUCAGCUCUAAUCACGGCGUAUGAUAAACCAAAAGGACCUAAUUAUUGAGAGACCUCUUCUGACAUUCUCAAGACCUACUUAAUUUUGAUGUUUAGCAAAACCUUUCUACCACCCCCGCAAAAAAACAAAAAUGAAGAGGAAGAAAAAGGCUAAAAAGAAAAGAAAAUUAAAGCAAGGGGCAUAUAUGGAGCGCAGCCAAAUGCGCCGACCAACAACAAUGCAAUUGAUCAAGCGACAGCAAAAUGCCAGAGACUUCGAGGGCUCAUAUGAGCUUAAUAAAUGAUGACGCAUGCGCAGGCUUUGAGGGUCUAGUUUUGUUUUGCAAGUCUUUAGAACACUGCAAGUAAGUUGCGCCUUGACUAAACAUAAAACCGUCAAAAUAGAAAGGCAAUAGAUAGUGUACGUAAUAUGGUCUUAGAAAAUGGGAUUCCAAUUCUUGCUAGGGAGUAGGAUCAUUCUCUUAUAUCUACACAAGUAUUAGGCAAAAAAGUAAUUACUCCGUAUAAGUAUAAUAAGCCAAACGAGUCGACGGUUAGCAGUUGGAAUAUACAGGCGUGUAUACAAUACAGGCGUGGAUAAUUUCAUUUCAUUUUACAAGUUGAGUUGAGAUGUCAUCCAUAUCCCAAUUGAAACUGCGCCAAUUGUAGCCAAAGCUUGGGCCAACUCAUAUACCAAAUUUUGCUGCCGGAGAGGCACGCUUGCCCAGUCGGUCCGUCUGUACAUAGAAAAAACGGACAGCAAUAAUCAGUAAAAGAGCAUAUAAAAUUUCUCAAGAGUGAAGUAGUGUUGGUUUCGGUCGUAUGGAAUAUCUACUAACAACACAUCCCACAACCAGGAUUCAUAUAACAAAAUUACGUUCCCUUUUCUAAGGGGAAACAUCCAAAAGAAAGAAUAGCCUUCUUGCCAGCUUCGUGCACUAACCUUUCAUGUGAUCAAUCUUGUCUGGUUAGUGUCAUUGAACCUUGUACUAGAUGAGUUAGUAAGAGCUACCAAGAGAGACAUUUUUUGGUUGGUUACCGCCCUCAUUUAAAGCCAUCUCAUUUUACUUCUAGGUUAGGAAGACCAAAAUGACGAGAACGGACAUAAACCAGAAGAGCCAGCACGUACCCUAAAUCAGCAACCACAAUGCUGAUGUUAUCUUGUGACCCUCGUUCCUGUAGUAAUUAGCAAAUUUUCGGCAUAAGAGCUAUAAAAGCAAAUGAAUCUCAGAACGACCAUGGAGACAGUUUUUUUUUUUUUGAGUUGCAGUUUCCGUUUAUUACCAGUGCCGUCUGAGCAAGGGCUUCACAAGCUCUCUGUAAUCAGAGCAAAGAAAAUUAGAUAAUGCCUACUGUACUGCGGGAUCAAUUAAGGAGCCAUGGCAGAUUCCUUACCUGCACAUCUCCAUGUUCUCGAAGUUGAUUUCUAACAAAAUCAACUGCAUCUGAACUGAAACAUCGUAAAAUUUCUCAACCAUUAUGCUCUUCAGGAUGACUGGAUUACCAGUAUAAGGAAGAUGAAUGAAUGACUAAUUGCUUGAUAGGGCAAAAGGGCAAACUUCCAAAAGCUCUAAGAAUAAAACCUGUUUACGUAAUCCCACAAUCCAUCAGAUGCUAAUAUUACACAUUCAGCAUCUGAUUCCAAAGCAACUUGGGAAACAUCAGGACAUGCUGUAACCAAGUCUCCAGUAAAUUGUAUCCUGAAAUAAUCCCAAAAGGCUCUUGCAUUAUAAAAGAGAAGUUUGCAAAUUUUUUAUUAAUUCAAGAGUGGACUUCCUAAGGGAAGUCUAACUUAAAACUUCUCUUGAAGUGCAUUUGAGAUUUAUCAUGCUUCCAGCCUUAGUACCAAAUCUGUAAUGACCUAGGGAAUCAUCUUAUAAAAAUUUGAUUUGGCAUUUAUCUCACAUUUGGAACACAAUCUGACUCAUCAUUUUUUGCAUAAAAAUAAUUCAACAAAGGAUAACCUAAGGACAGCCCAAGAAAAUUUGAUUUUCCUGCACUGUAGAAGUGGUUGAUACUGAAUAGACAAAAUGUUAAAAACAGAUUCCACCAUAAUUAUUAUGGUCCAGCGCUUUAGGGACAACUAAAUUCACCACUCUAGUUUCAGCAGUGAUAAGAAUACAAGUGAACGAAAUACAUUUGUUUGUAGAAAAUGGAAUAUCACGUACCUGGAAAUGAACUUUUGGGACCACCUGCCUUCCUCAACUCCCUUCUCCAGCAUCCUUCACAGCAACAUGUAUAAAUAUUAACAGAAGAUUCAUAAUGCAUAGGAUCUCUUAGAUUCUCAAGUAGAUAUAUGGCAUGGCAACAAAUUCAUUGUGUCAAUUGAGGAUAAUGAGGAAUACACAUACUCAUUCUUCCUGGUCUUAAACCGCACGUCACCAAAAGCACGUGACACUGCAAUGUCUCCACAAAUUCUGCCAUUGCUUAUCUGUAGACACCACAUAAAAAAUUUCCAUUAUGUCUAUAUUUCUAUGCCCUGUUCUUAAAUUGCAAGAUAUGUCAGAACAAAAUGAGCUUAAUUGCGACAGGGAUAGCAAAAAAACUGUGUUAGCAAAAAGAAGGGGAAAAAAUUAAGGCAAGACUAUUCCACACCAUCCCAGGGAAAAGGUAAAAGUCUAGCAUUGUUUGUAAACUAAAAUGGAAUUAGCUUCAAUGUAUAGCCCUCAACUUGUAUUGAGCAGUUGUUAUCGACUUGAGCAAAAAAACAAAAAAGAAUUGUCCCCUAAAGUACCUAGUCAGCUAAGAACAAGGAGCAUAUUGAAAUUCAAGAAGUGUUAUUCAUUGUUUGAGUAGCAUAUUGGAAUUUUCAUGGCCAGUAAAUGCCCACUUGGUAAGGACUUGUCAUAGUAAUGGUAUUAAAAGACAUGACUUUAUCAGUUUUUCCUUUGAGAGAUUGAAUUUAACUCCAGAUGCAACACCGUGAAGGUUUUCAGAGCAUAGCAAAUGCAGAAAGAUCUAAUUCUAAGGGCAGCAUAAUCAUUCUAGACAAGAUAGCUGAUACAACUGAAAGAAAAGCAAUCAAAUUAAGAAUUCAAGAAAAGAAAACACACCCAUCCACCUGCUUCUCUGAUACGCCUGAUUUCUUCGAGAGACGCUUUGUUGCUUCCAUAUGGACGAUGAGAACUGGUUAACACUUCUGCUUUUCCAGAUCGUGACAGCACCUAAACCAAAGUGAUUGAUAAAGGAAAAGAGCUGGGUUUGGCAUCUGUUUGGUAUGAGUAGACCAUCACAAAAAAAAUGGAAAAGCAUAAUCAUGAAAACUUCAAAGAGAUUACCACGCAUGAGUCACCAACGUGAGAGAUGAACAAUGUAUCAUCUCCAAUUAGGAUCACAGUAGCUGUUGAGCCAGAAUCCCUCUCCUCAGCGCUCGUCUCAAGCCUUUACAAAAUCAAACAGCGUCUAAACCUUCAACGCAAUCAUAUACAAUGUAGAAUCAUAUUGAGACUAGAUUACAUGUCCAGCGCACAGAUAUUAAUGAGGCAGUAAGAAUCUUCACCAGGAAUAUACAUGGGUUUACCAGUUCAAGAGUUUCAUAUCAGCACUUUCAAAAGCCUCUUCUAACGCCUUCUUUACUGUGUCAAACCCCUUCUCCCUCAGUAAAAGUCCACCUUGUAAUGCUGCCACGCAUUCUUUGUACAACUCAUUUCUGGAACCAGUACAUUGAAUUAAGCAUCAAUUUUUCCCCAGUAAAAAGUAAUGUGGCGGUAGAAAUCAUGAAAGUUAACUGUAGCAGACCCCAGAAAAACCAUGAAGUUACUGGCACAAAAGUGAGGUUAAAUUACACAAUAGUAUUUUUUUUAGUAGUGAUUGAUUAGUGACACUUAGAUGAUCGCUGAAUACAUCCAGGGACUCCCUAUAGGAUUCAAUAAAAAUGGAGAAGCAAUUUAGAAAGCUGCAAAAGAUGGUACGGAUGACUCAGAGCAUCAAAAGCUCAUGCACUUCCCCCCCCCCCCCCCCUCUUAAUGGUUCGUAUGUAAUAAGCCACAGCACCAAUUAGCCAAACCUGAGAAAUUUGACAGAAGAGAAACCAGCAUGGCCGUCGAAAACAGCUGCAUAAGAGAAGCCAGCAAGAUCCUCUGACCGAACAAUAAUGACAUCAUCCUCCAUCUCUUCGCGGACACCUUGUACAAGGGAAGAACCCCAUCUAAUGCUGGAAACACCUGUCAAAGAAGAUGGGGCAUCAAUUGCAAUGGCUGAGCAGCAUCUGCCUCCCCCACCCUUAACCGCGACGGUGUUUUUUGUGGCCUUGUUGUUCAAUUCGUAGUUGCAGUAUCCCCUGUGGUUUAAGAGAAACCUCCGAAGUUGUGGGCUAGACAAAGCCAUUAAUGAAGUAGAAGUCUUGAUGAAAAGCAGAGCUUCAGAGGGGUUCCUGAACAACCUUUGAAGUUGCCAGCUUCUGCUGCUGUUUAUAGUACGGUGAGAAUGGGCCAAAGGAAAGCGUGUGGUUUAGAACGGGAAGGAUAAGAUUCUGGGAACGAAGCCUCACCUCUAACUAAUUUUAGCGGCUUAGAUUUCAGAUUCUGUCCACUCCAGAACAAAAAUUAUUAGUUCAAUUAUUCUUACAGAUCAAAUUUAUUAUUACAAGUUUUCUGGGAUGGAACCUCCAAGGAUAGGAAAUGGGAAUCACCAGCUCCAGUCAUGUCAACCGUAGAAUUUCGAUGUAAACCUGAAUUAUAAAUGAGUUGAUGCAAAAUUUACUACUAUUGUUGUGCUAAUUUAUUAGGUAAUUGGACAGACCCGUAACUAGAGUGGCCCGAAUUCACAAGGAUAUAUCAAUUAAUAGAUAACCCAAAAUUACACACUAAAACAAAAUGGAUUAAGUGACAACUUAGCUUUGGAUGUACGCUUACAUGUGCAUGAUUUAAAUUUUAAAUUUAAAUUUAUAUUAUAUAGCAAUGAUUUAAAUCUACCAACAUAAAAAUUAUAUACUGAGAGUGUAUAAAAAAUUAUCCAAACAAAAUUAUACACGAGUCUCAAUUCGUAUAUAACCCAAGAUUUACUCGAAAUUGGUAGACCAAUUUGCACAUUCUUGGAGAACUUAAAUGAUAUUAUAGACUCUUUUUGGGGGGGGGGGGAAAUUUUCUUAUCGUUAUUAAAGGGGGGAAAAAACUGAAUGUGUUCUUUGUAGAAUCAUACAAUAUCAUUUACAGACAUAUGGACUAUUAACAAUUUAAUUGGGGAAAAAAUGAAGCACUCCAAAUAGGCCCCUCUCCCCUCGGGUUUUGGAUGACGUUAAAGAUAACACUGCAAAUGAUUAAUGAAGAUUUCAUGCUCAGGGAAAUUGGCUUCACCUGACUACAUUUCACAGAAAUUUUUACCCGGAAAAUUAUGUACUUUACUAAUUACUACUCUGUUAUUUGGACAGAAGAUUAUUUGAAAUAAUUAUUAUAUCACUUUUUUGUGAUGUGCUGUGAAUGAAAUAAAAAGAUGUGUUAAAGAUUAUAUUUAUGAUGCAAGCAAAUAAUUUUUGGCUAAAUAAUGGCCGUCCAAACAAAAUAUUAAUGUGGUCGGUCAUAUUAAUUCCUGGUCGUCGUCGUCGUUCGAGUAGCAUGGGGUUCCCUCAAUUUCUUUCGCCUAGUUUAGCAUGAUCAUCCAAAGCUUGCGAGAAUUUUAAUUAUGAAAAUAUCUUUCUUUUUCACACGUACCAGGAAAACAAAAAGUCUUUUCACAUCGAAGAGAGACGUUAUCUAGUUCCACGAGAACAAAAAGAAAAUAAAAGGAAAAAAAAAAUGAAAAAAGCUAAUAGAAAAAAAAAAAAGAAUUUAAGAUAGCAGGGACAAUAUUGUUCAAACAUAUCAUUCAAGGGAGCAAAAUGCCCAUUAUUAUAGUUUAGGAGGUAAACUGCAGUUGGGUAUAUAAUUUGUGUGGGUUUUUUGCAUAUAACCCUAAUUUUUUUGAUAGAUCAUCCAGUUGUUUGUGCUAAUUUAUAGAGGCAAAGGUUAAACUGAUUUCAAAAACCAUCCUUACAUAGCCUAUUAUUAUAAAACCAAGAAACCAAGGCGAAAGGAAGAAAUGCUCGAGUGCUAAAAUCUGAAAGUAUGUUCUCAUCAUAAAAUCAACUUCGACCUGAAAUCCGGUGAACAUAAACAUCAUAUGCUCUUUUUUUUUCGGUUGACUGACAGCAUAUUCCAAAGAAAAAAGAAUAAAACACAGAAGGAACAGAAUGAGGCAUACUCUGAACAAUCUCAAGCUCAUGACCAAGGCAGAAAGCCAAUCUAUUCAAGCUUUGAAUAAAUUACUGGAGGAAAAGAAAUCAGGAGUCUUAAAAGAGCCAAACACGAAUUAAAAUUUGUCAAGGUCAAACUUUGAUUCAGUUGAUCCGCCUUCUGCAGCUUGAGCACAUUUAGAUCAGUAAAGGUUUGUAGCUGACAAGAACAUCAAAUCGACAAAGACUCUAAAUGCUCGUUUGCAUUCCACUUCCAGAGGACCACAGCACCACAAAUUUUAAAAUCAGUUAACUAAACAAUUUUCAUUUAAAAAAAAACAGAAAAUUUUUUUCACAUUCCAUCAGGUUCAUUUUAUCCAACAUGAGGUUACAGCCAAACAAAAACUACUUAGAUGCUUUGCUUGUCUGCAUUCCACAUCCACAGCACAACAACAAUGAAAAUCAGUUAGCUAAACAGAAAGAACUAAAAAUCUGAGAAGUUGUUCCACAUUCCAUGUCCUCCUUUUUCAGAAGUAACUUUCAGACCAAUAUUGACUGUUCCAAAAUUCCAAAGCCAAAUCCAACGUAUCUGAUACAAGCACUGUGGGCCCUUCAACAUUAUCAGCAAGAGAAUCUCGAGCAUGAAAAUGCUCGUAGCUCAAUUACCACAGCCGCGAGUGAAUAGAAAUUCAGAUGUACAAUCAAGAUAUGCCUUGCAUCAGACAAGGCUCAAACAGAACACCAAGAAAGACAGCAAUCAGCAAAUCAGCAGAUCAUGAAGUUUUUACAUCCCAUUAAGCAGGUAUGGCCAGGCAACCAAAGUCUAUGAUGCUUCCAAAAGCAAUUAAAACCACACCACAUUAGCGGCACAACUAAGGGCAAAGAGAUGCACAAAUACCAUAACAAGUAUACUAGUUUUGAAAAUCUUCUCAAUCCCCAUCAUUGAUACAAGAUUCUGCUUAUCGCUCUAAAAUUAUACAGUUCAAGAUAAGGAAUCCUAUCUAAGGUAUUGGAAAAAUUUUCCUUUGGAAAAACUUAUGUCAUCAUUGAACAUGGAUGGUUGAGUGAAACGAGAAUACAGCACAGCGCUGCAUGGUUGACAAUGUCCCUAGUGCAAACUAACUGCAAGAAGUCAAUGUUAAGACGAUCUAUGUCAAAUUUUAACGCAGUUAUGUUGGUGUUCUUUCAUAGCAAGAUUUCCUGCCCAGAGAUAAGGUCUAUUAGGAGCUUCCUCAUUUCGAUAGAGGUAGAGCUUCUUCAAUCCAAAUGACAUUGGAGUAACAUUGUCAAUUAAAUGCAUCUUGCUACAGCAGGAGACGGCAUUUUCUCCACUUCAAGAACUGAAAAAUGUGCAGAAACUCCUAAUAGAGAGUGACGCACAUGCAGGACUGUUUUGGAUUCAUAUCAAAGGGAAGUGCAUCACACGUGCACAAGUUGCUAAUCUUCAACUCAAAUAAGUGAUUAAUGCAUGGCCAAGAUGCAGCUCUCCCUCUCUCUAACCAUCCUUUUAUUUUCUUUUAACAAAAUUUCAUAAAUAGCAUUGAUAGGGGCACCUAACACCCUUCCAUUAUCAUUCCAAUUCUUGAUAAGAAGCUAAUGAAUUCAAGGUAUCAUUCCAAAGGUAUUAUGUUUUCAAUUCCAGAAGAAACCUACAAAAUGCAGUCCGGCUUAUGCUUGCAUUAGAUUUUCCAAAUGUCUGUGAAGGAUGUAGAGGGCACAAACACGUUGACAUAUAAAGUGAACCAAAGAACUAGGGCAGAAAAUGAAUAGUCUGUUGCGUCAUCGUAAUUUAAAAAAAAAAGAAUUAAAGAAGGAAAAGGGUGAAAUAGCUAUAGUGCUCAUCAAGCACAGAUUCAGUAAACAAGCUUAAAAACCAUCAUGUAGCACAAUAGUAAACUAAAUAAAUUGCACUUAGUGUUACAUUAACUUGUAUAAGAGUCUCCUAUAUUUUGAAGGCCAAAAGGAUAAGGAUCAUCUGCCAUGACCUAUAACAUUAUCCCGCAUGCCCUCCAACUUCAGAAUAGAUACCAGAUUUUGAGACGAAAAACAACAGCAAUAGAAAACGCUAACACGCUCUUAAGACAUCAGCAGCCACCACU